rnacentral:pre_miRNA from 1 species
ACCUUUGGGCCUGAUCCAAAGCCUAUUGUAUUUAAUGGGAGUCUUUCUACUGAUUUCAAUGGUCUUUGGAUCAGGCCCCUUUCCU